AUGUGAUCGUCUCUCGCAUAUCAAUAAGCGGAGGAAAAGAAACUAACAAGGAUUCCCCUAGUAACGGCGAGUGAAGCGGGAAGAGCUCAAAUUUGAAAUCUUAAAGGGUUUCCCUUUACGAAUUGUAGUUUAAAGAAGUGUUUUCUGUUGAGGUUUUGGUAAAAGUUCUUUGGAAUAGGACAUCAUAGAGGGUGAGAAUCCCGUAUUUGACCUUUACUUUCAACUUUGUGAUACACUUUCAAAGAGUCGGAUUGUUUGGGAAUGCAGUCCAAAAUGGGUGGUAAAUUUCAUCUAAAGCUAAAUAUUGGCGAGAGACCGAUAGCGAACAAGUACCGUGAGGGAAAGAUGAAAAGAACUUUGAAAAGAGAGUUAAACAGUACGUGAAAUUGUCAAAAGGGAAGCGUUUGACACCAGUGUUAUUUUUCUGAAAAUCAAUUAAAGAACUGUUUAUGCUAAGUUGUUUAGACUUUAUCAGCUAACUGUUUAGUUUUGAGCUUUUCUUUAAUGCACUUUUCAGUUAACAAGUCAACAUCAAUUUCUUUUGCUGUAAAAAAGCUUGAGGAAGGUGGCUUGAGAUUCGUCUUAAGUGUUUAUAGCCUCUUGCCUAUGCAGUCGGAGAGAUUGAGGUCUGCAGCGUAGAUCCUUCGGGGCUAAAUGCAUUUGUGCUAAGUUAUAGCAUUUUAUAGACAACUUGUUGACUAUGAUUUGUCUUGUAGCUUACUCGCUUAUGUUAUUUUACCUACGCUUAGGAUGUUGAUCUACAGAGCGAGAGU
rnacentral:rRNA from 1 species